CCCCCUACGGGAGGCAGCAGUGGGGGAUAUUGCACAAUGGGGGAAACCCUGAUGCAGCGACACCGCGUGGGUGAAGAAGCGCUUCGGCGUGUAAAGCCCUCUCCGUUGGGAAGACAAAGUACGGUACCCAAAGAAUAAGCACCGUCUAAAUACGUGCCAGCAGCCGCGGUAAUUCUUAUGGUGCAAGCGUUAUCCGGAAUUACUGGGUGUAAAGGGAGCGUCGACGGUUGGACAAUUCUGAUGUGAAAGCCCACGGCCCC
rnacentral:rRNA from 1 species